AGUGCGUGGCCGAAUGGUUACGCUGUCCGCUUUGUUAGCGGAUGAUUCUGGGUUCGAUUCCCAUCUGCUCCA
rnacentral:tRNA from 1 species